AGGGUGUAAAACGCUGCAGACUUGGUGUUGGAAGCCCUUUGGGGGCAUUCAGUGCCGGAGAGAAGUUGUUAAGUCUGCUACUUGGGGAGUACGUCCGCAAGGAUGAAACUUAAAGGAAUUGGCGGGGGAGCACCGCAACGGGAGGAGCGUGCGGUUUAAUUGGAUUCAACACCGUAAAACUCACCAGGGAAGACUGUUACAUGAAGGCCGAGAUGAAGACUCUGCUAGAUUUUCAGAGAGGAGGUGCAUGGCGUCAGUGACU
rnacentral:rRNA from 1 species